GAUGAAGAACGCAGCGAAAUGCGAUAAGUAGUGUGAAUUGCAGAAUUCAGUGAAUCAUCGAAUCUUUGAACGCACAUUGCGCCCCUUGGUAUUCCAUGGGGCAUGCCUGUUCGAGCGUCAUUUGUACCCUCAAGCUAUGCUUGGUGUUGGGUGUUUGUCCUCUCCUUUGCGAUUGGACUCGCCUUAAAGACAUUGGCAGCCAGUGUAUUGGUCUUGAAGCGCAGCACAUUUUGCGAUUCUUGCUGUUAAUCACUAGCGUCCAGUAAGCCUAUUUUAACACUUUUGACCUCGGAUCAGGUAGGGAUACCCGCUGAACUUAAGCAUAUCAAUAAGCGGAGGA
rnacentral:misc_RNA from 1 species